rnacentral:misc_RNA from 1 species
UGGACAUGACUAAACCAUCUUAAUGGACUCUUUUUAUCUACAAUAUGCACCACAUGUAUUCUCUAAUGAAUGUAAGAUUGAUAAGGACAAAUGGCAUUAAAUUCCAUAGUUAUUUCCUCUCAACUCUUAGGAUCAUCCUCUAGGUCCUCCACAUCUUGUCUUUGUUAUGAUAGAAGAAGAAAAUCUUUUAAAGGGAUGCUUAGUAAGAUACGUGGUGUUUAAUUGAAAACAACUCAGCCAAGCAUGAUGCCUGCAGCAGUUGGCUAAGCCACAAGAAUGUCAAUCUUGGCUGCAUCCACCUUGUCUGCAUCCACCUUGUCUAGAGCUAAUCGCUGUGGCUUAUGGAAAAAAGCUAUAGCAGGGGUGUUGAAGUUGGUUCACUACUGGAUUAUGAUCAUUGCCACCUGUAUAUAAAAUUGUUACUUUAGAUCAUUAUUUAUAUGUAUUCAAUAAUAUGGGGGUAAGCACUAAGCACACAUUUAAGAACUUGAGCAUAUCAAGUGAUAGAAUUAAUAGCUUCAAUUUACUUUAUCAGUAGCCAGUGUAUGAUACUUGUCUGCUAAUGAUAAUUAUAAUAUUUUUGUUU